AUUCCAGCUCCAAUAGCGUAUAUUUAAGUUGUUGCAGUUAAGAAGCUCGUAGUCGGAUUUCGGGUGGGCGCCGCGUGGUCGGCCGUUCCGGUCGUACUACCGGCACCCAUCCUGCUGCCGGGGACGGGCUGCUGGGCUUCACUGUCUGGCACCCGGAGUCGGCGAGGUUACUUUGAGUAAAUUAGAGUGUUCAAAGCAGGCCUACGCUCUGAAUACAUUAGCAUGGAAUAACACGAUAGGACUCUGGCCUAUCUUGUUGGUCUGUAGGACCGGAGUAAUGAUUAAGAGGGACAGUCGGGGGCAUUCGUAUUUCAUUGUCAGAGGUGAAAUUCUUGGAUUUAUGAAAGACGAACUACUGCGAAAGCAUUUGCCAAGGAUGUUUUCAUUG
rnacentral:rRNA from 1 species